UACGAAGGGGGCUAGCGUUGCUCGGAAUCACUGGGCGUAAAGCGCACGUAGGCGGAUCUUUAAGUCGGUGGUGAAAUCCUGGAGCUCAACUCCAGAACUGCCUUCGAUACUGAGGAUCUCGAGUCCGGGAGAGGUGAGUGGAACUGCGAGUGUAGAGGUGAAAUUCGUAGAUAUCGUGGAGGAAUACCGGUGGCGAAGGCGGCAUCCUGGACCGAGAUUGACACUGAUGAGCGGAAAGCUAGGGGAGCAAACGGG
rnacentral:rRNA from 1 species